rnacentral:misc_RNA from 1 species
GAUGAAGAACGUAGCGAAAUGCGAUACUUGGUGUGAAUUGCAGAAUCCCGUGAACCAUCGAGUCUUUGAUCGCAAGUUGCGCCUCAAGCCAUUAGGUUGAGGGCACGUCUGCCUGGGCGUCACAUAUCGUUGCCUGAUGCCAGUUUCCUCGUGAUGGGUGACUGUGCAGGGCGAAUGAUGGCUUCCCGUGAGCAUUGUUGCCUCAUGGUUGGUUGAAAAUUGAGUCCUUGGUAGGGAGCGCCGUGAUAGAUGGUGGUUGAGUGACGAACGAGACCCAAUCAUGUGAGACCCCUACCGAAUUUGGCCUUCAUGACCCACAUGCGUCUUUGGAACGCUCAUGACGAGACCUCAGGUCAGGCGGGGCUACCCGCUGAGUUUAAGCAUAUCAAUAAGCGGAGGA